rnacentral:rRNA from 1 species
AGGGCACCACCAGAUAUGGAGCCUGCGGCUUAAUUUGACUCAACACGGGGAAACUUACCCGGCCCGGACACUGGUAGGAUUGACAGAUUGAGAGCUCUUUCUUGAUUCGGUGGGUGGUGGUGCAUGGCCGUUCUUAGUUGGUGGAGCGAUUUGUCUGGUUAAUUCCGAUAACGAACGAGACUCUGGCCUACUAACUAGACUGUGGAUCUUUUUGUGGGUCCAUCGCAGCUUCUUCUUCGGACGGGGGGCGGUUGUGCGGACGAGAUUGAGGAUUGAUAGGGCUGUGAUGCCCUUAUCAGCCCUGCGAUGCACACGCGCUACACUGAAGGAAUGCCCUUGUGUGCCCUACCCCAAAGGCGUGGUAAACUGAAUGAACCUCCUUCGUGAUGGGGAUUCCUACUUGUCUUAUUCCCCAUGAACGAUGAAUUCCCUUCGUGAUUGAGUAUAGGAUUGCGUUAUUACGUUGUGCCCUUUGUCCCACCGCCCGUCGCUACUACCUUGCGAGUGAUUACGUGAGGC